rnacentral:rRNA from 1 species
CCUACGGGAGGCAGCAGUGGGGAAUAUUGCACAAUGGGCGCAAGCCUGAUGCAGCGACGCCGCGUGAGGGAUGACGGCCUUCGGGUUGUAAACCUCUUUCAGUAGGGAAGAAGCGAAAGUGACGGUACCUGCAGAAGAAGCGCCGGCUAACUACGUGCCAGCAGCCGCGGUAAUACGUAGGGCGCAAGCGUUAUCCGGAAUUAUUGGGCGUAAAGAGCUCGUAGGCGGUUUGUCGCGUCUGCCGCGAAAGUCCGGGGCUCAACUCCGGAUCUGCGGUGGGUACGGGCAGACUAGAGUGAUGUAGGGGAGACUGGAAUUCCUGGUGUAGCGGUGAAAUGCGCAGAUAUCAGGAGGAACACCGAUGGCGAAGGCAGGUCUCUGGGCAUUAACUGACGCUGAGGAGCGAAAGCAUGGGGAGCGAACAGGAUUAGAUACCCUGGUAGUCCAUGCCGUAAACGUUGGGCACUAGGUGUGGGGGACAUUCCACGUUUUCCGCGCCGUAGCUAACGCAUUAAGUGCCCCGCCUGGGGAGUCGGCCGCAAGGCUAAACGUCAAUAGAAUUAGACGGCGUGAGACGNGCGACGACGACGACGAGGAGGAGG